rnacentral:rRNA from 1 species
CAUACCUAUUCGAAGGGAUAGGGUCGGUUUGGCCGGAUUUCACACAGGUGUUGCAUGGCUGUCGUCAGCUCGUGUCGUGAGAUGUUGGGUUAAGUCCCGCAACGAGCGCAACCCUCAUCCUUAGUUACCAUCAGGUUAUGCUGGGGACUUUAAGGAAACUGCCAGUGAUAAACUGGAGGAAGGUGGGGAUGAUGUCAAGUCAUCAUGGCCCUUAUGGAGUGGGCUACACACGUGCUACAAUGGUGAUUACAAUGGGCUGCAAGGUCGCAAGGCUGAGCUAAUCCUAAAAAACCAUCUCAGUUCGGAUUGUUCUCUGCAACUCGAGAGCAUGAAGUUGGAAUCGCUAGUAAUCGUGGAUCAGCAUGCCACGGUGAAUACGUUCUCGGGUCUUGUACACACUGCCCGUCACGCCAUGGGAAUUGGUUUCACUCGAAGCU